rnacentral:rRNA from 1 species
UACAGAGGGUGCGAGCGUUGUUCGGAAUUAUUGGGCGUAAAGGGCGCGUAGGCGGUGCGGUAAGUCACCUGUGAAAUCUCCUGGCUCAACUGGGAGCUUGCAGGCGAAACUGCCGUGCUGGAGUGUGGGAGAGGUGAGUGGAAUUCCCGGUGUAGCGGUGAAAUUCGUAGAUAUCGGGAGGAACACCAGUGGCGAAGGCGGCGACCUGGGCCAAUAUUGACGCUGAGGUGCGAAAGCGUGGGGAGCAAACAGG